rnacentral:rRNA from 1 species
UGGGGAAUCUUGGACAAUGGGCGCAAGCCUGAUCCAGCCAUGCCGCGUGAGCGAUGAAGGCCUUAGGGUUGUAAAGCUCUUUCACCGGUGAAGAUAAUGACGGUAGCCGGAGAAGAAGCCCCGGCUAACUCCGUGCCAGCAGCCGCGGUAAUACGGAGGGGGCUAGCGUUGUUCGGAAUUACUGGGCGUAAAGCGCGCGUAGGCGGACUGAUCAGUCAGGGGUGAAAUCCCGGGGCUCAACCCCGGAACUGCCUUUGAUACUGUCAGUCUUGAGUCCGGAAGAGGUGAGUGGAAUUUCCAAGUGUAGAGGUGAAAUUGCGUAGAUAUUUGGAGGAACACCAGUGGCGAAGGCGGCUCACUGGCUCGAUACUGACGCUGAGGUGCGAAAGUGUGGGGAGCAAACAGGAUUAGAUACCCUGGUAGUCCACGCCGUAAACGAUGAGUGCUAGUCGUCGGCAGGCAUGCCUGUCGGUGACGCAGCUAACGCAUUAAGCACUCCGCCU